UAGGGAAUCUUCGGCAAUGGGGGGAACCCUGACCGAGCAACGCCGCGUGAGUGAAGAAGGUUUUCGGAUCGUAAAGCUCUGUUGUUAAGGAAGAACGAGUGUGAGAAUGGAAAGUUCAUACUGUGACGGUACUUAACCAGAAAGGGACGGCUAACUACGUGCCAGCAGCCGCGGUGAUACGUAGGUCCCGAGCGUUGUCCGGAUUUAUUGGGCGUAAAGCGAGCGCAGGCGGUCAAUUAAGUCUGAUGUGAAAGCCCCCGGCUCAACCGGGGAGGGUCAUUGGAAACUGGUUGACUUGAGUGCAGAAGAGGAGAGUGGAAUUCCAUGUGUAGCGGUGAAAUGCGUAGAUAUAUGGAGGAACACCAGUGGCGAAGGCGACUCUCUGGUCUGUAACUGACGCUGAGGCUCGAAAGCGUGGGUAGCAAACAGG
rnacentral:rRNA from 1 species